UGAUCUGAAAUCAGGUAGGAUUACCCGCUGAACUUAAGCAUAUCAAUAAGCGGAGGAAAAGAAACUAACAAGGAUUCCCCUAGUAACGGCGAGUGAAGCGGGAAAAGCUCAAAUUUUAAAUCGAAUAGGGUACCUUAUUCGAGUUGUAUUUUCAAGAGACGUUUUCGGAUCGCGCCUGGGUAUAAGUCCUUUGGAACAGGGCAUCAUAGAGGGUGAGAAUCCCGUUUAUGACCCGGAGCGGCUGUCUAUGUGAUACGUUUUCAAAGAGUCAGGUUGUUUGGGAAUGCAGCCUAAAAUGGGUGGUAAAUUUCAUCUAAAGCUAAAUAUUGGCGAGAGACCGAUAGCGAACAAGUACCGUGAGGGAAAGAUGAAAAGAACUUUGAAAAGAGAGUUAAACAGUACGUGAAAUUGUUGAAAGGGAAACGUUUGAAAUCAGUCAUGUAAACGAGUAAUCAGCUUGGCUUUUGCCUUGUGCACUUUCUCGUUCGCAGGUCAGCGUCAGUUUUGAUACUAGUCGGAUAAAAAAUCAAGGGAAUGUGGCUCUCUUUUACGAGGGAGUGUUAUAGCCCUGGUUAUAAUACGAUGGUUAAGACUGAGGUCUGCAGCCAAUACCCUUUAUGGGCUGGAUAUUUCUUUUGCUCAUGGGUAACCGAGUUUAGACAGCUUGCUGACUAGGUUUGAAUUGCCUGUGACUCGAUUGAAUUUUAUUACAAAUUGGCUUAGGUCGCUGACUUAAUGGUUUUAAAUGACCCGUACUUGAAACACGGACCAAGGAGUCUAACAUAUAUGCAAGUGUUUGAGUGUCAAACUCAUGCGCGUAAUGAAAGUGAAUGUAGGUGAGAUCCUUUUUGAAAUAUUUAAUUGGAGCAUCAUCGACCGAUC
rnacentral:rRNA from 1 species